UCAGGACGAACGCUGGCGGCGUGCUUAACACAUGCAAGUCGAGCGAUGAGGCUCCUUCGGGAGUGGAUUAGCGGCGGACGGGUGAGUAACACGUGGGUAACCUGCCUCAUAGAGGGGAAUAGCCUUUCGAAAGGAAGAUUAAUACCGCAUAAGAUUGUAGUACCGCAUGGUACAGCAAUUAAAGGAGUAAUCCGCUAUGAGAUGGACCCGCGUCGCAUUAGCUAGUUGGUGAGGUAACGGCUCACCAAGGCGACGAUGCGUAGCCGACCUGAGAGGGUGAUCGGCCACAUUGGGACUGAGACACGACCCAGACUCCUACGGGAGGCAGCAGUGGGGAAUAUUGCACAAUGGGGGAAACCCUGAUGCCAGCAACGCCGCGUGAGUGAUGACGGCCUUCGGGUUGUAAAACUCUGUCUUUGGGGACGAUAAUGACGGUACCCAAGGAGGAAGCCACGGCUAACUACGUGCCAGCAGCAGC
rnacentral:rRNA from 1 species